UACGUAGGGGCCUAGCGUUGUCCGGAAUUAUUGGGCGUAAAGAGCUCGUAGGCGGCUCGUUGCGUCGGCUGUGAAAACCCGCAGCUCAACUGUGGGCUUGCAGCUGAUACGGGCGGGCUGGGAUUCGGUAGGGGAGACUGGAAUUCCUGGUGUAGCGGUGAAAUGCGCAGAUAUCAGGAGGAACACCGGUGGCGAAGGCGGGUCUCUGGGCCGAUAUCGACGCUGAGGAGCGAAAGCGUGGGGAGCGAACAGG
rnacentral:rRNA from 1 species